rnacentral:lncRNA from 1 species
GGCAGUUUGUAAUGGCGCUUCCAUUCUUCCUGACUUCUUCAGUCUAACCAAGAGUUUCUAGCCUUUUUGUCUAGGCUUGCGUUCUUCAUGCCAGAAAUUCAUUGUGCAAUUAGCCCCAUCAUUGGAUGAAGCUUCAAGUAUCUUUAUACACAGUUUUUCUGAUGCUGACAUGGCACAUUUAAAUGGAAAUGAAAAUGAUGAUGGCAUCAAAAUGGCAAGCUUUCGAUGCCCCUUCUUCUAUAUAGCAAUGACUCCGGAAGACAUUUAUCAAAUAAAAUAAGAUUCAUGCCUAUAACCCCAGCAUUUCAGAUUUGGAGGCAAGAGGAUCUCAGGAAUUCAAGGUCAUCCUUGGCUCUACAGAGAGUUCAAGGCCAGCCUAGACUAUACGCCUCACCUCAAAGAAAACACAAAAGCAAGGCUUUCCUCGUGGCUCAGCAGAUCAGAGUGCACAAGCAUGGAAACCCGAGUUCAAGUCCUCAGUACCCAUAACAUGACCAUUGCACCCAUGAACUUGCUGCUGCUAUGAUAACCUGCACAAGAUCAGGGCAGCAUGAUCAGUCAACAUUCUAACAGACAGCACUAAUUAGACUUAGUAUGGGGGGAGAGGAAGAGGGAGAGGGAGGAAGUGAAGAAAGAGGCGCUAUGUUGGGGAGGGUCUCGGCAGCAUUGAAAGGGGCUUAGGAGGGGUAUAAUUACAUUCAUUGUUUGCACUUGUCAAAGAAUAAAUAAAAAUGUUUUAAGAAAC